AAAUGUUUGUUUUUUAGGCCUAUUUGUUGGGGCUAUAUCCCGAGGGUUUUGGCGACGCCAAAGCUAUGUAACGAAUUCGGUUCCCAAUAGGAUCGCAAAUCCUGUUCGGAAUAAUGUGCACAAGAGCCGUGAGCCAUCCUAGAGAGGUUGGCCGACCAUGGUGUCCGUUGAAGGUGGCCACCUUCUCGGUACACAACUUACAUAUAUGGUCGAACGUCAAGAGAAAGGAGCAAUGAUCGGAGUCGAUGUUAGUAAUUAUUCAAGUGGAUCUCUCGAAGAUUUGUGUCUUCAUACACGAAGUCGUUUAGUAUGAGAAUUUCAAGUCUCACCAUCGAACUCUGAUUUAGUUGAUGAAAUGAUUAUUUUGAGACCAUGUAAUUGAAUACUUGGCUUCUAUCUUAUGGUAUUAAUCGAUUUGGCAUUUUCGGCAA